rnacentral:rRNA from 1 species
UCGUAACAAGGUAUCCCUACCGGAAGGUGGGGAUGGAUCACCUCCUUUCUAAGGAGCUCAU